GACGAACGCUGGCGGCGUGCCUAAUACAUGCAAGUCGAACGCAGUUGCGAACGGGUGAGUAACGCGUAGGUAACUGCCUCAUAGCGGGGGAUAAGUAUUGGAAACGAUAGCUAAUACCGCAUCCUGUGAGAUGGACCUGCGUUGUAUUAGCUAGUUGGUGAGGUAGAGGCUCACCAAGGCGACGAUACAUAGCCGACCUGGGAGGGUGGCUGGGCACACUGGGAAUGAGGCACGGCCCAGACUCCUACGGGAGGCAGCAGUAGGGGAUCUUCGGCAAUGGGCGGAAGGCUGGCCGAGCAACGCCGGGGGAGUGGAGAAGGGUUUCGGAUCGUAAAGCUCUGUUGUUAGAGAAGCGGUAACUAAACAGAAAGGGCCGGCUAACUACGUGCCAGCCGCCGCGGUAAUUC
rnacentral:rRNA from 1 species